GACGAACGCUGGCGGCGUGCUUAACACAUGCAAGUCGAACGGAAAGGCCCUGCUUGCAGGGUACUCGAGUGGCGAACGGGUGAGUAACACGUGGGUGAUCUGCCUUGCACUUCGGGAUAAGCCUGGGAAACUGGGUCUAAUACCGGAUAGGAGCCAUUUUUAGUGUGAUGGUUGGAAAGUUUUUUCGGUGUAGGAUGAGCUCGCGGCCUAUCAGCUUGUUGGUGGGGUAAUGGCCUACCAAGGCGGCGACGGGUAGCCGGCCUGAGAGGGUGGACGGCCACAUUGGGACUGAGAUACGGCCCAGACUCCUACGGGAGGCAGCAGUGGGGAAUAUUGCACAAUGGGCGCAAGCCUGAUGCAGCGACGCCGCGUGGGGGAUGACGGCCUUCGGGUUGUAAACUCCUUUCGCUAGGGACGAAGCUUUUGUGACGGUACCUAGAUAAGAAGCACCGGCUAACUACGUG
rnacentral:rRNA from 1 species